AUCUCACUGUGCCCUAAUCUUACGCCGACCACUCCAUUUCCCUUCCUCCCUCUUGCUCAUUGUCGCCGAGAUCUCAUCCGCCACCUCCUCUCCUUCGAUCACCGGAGCUAGAUCUGCCGCCAAGCUCCCGGAGUUGCCCUACCUUGCACGGUCUGCUUUCGGCCAAGAGCAGGAGGUGCCGUCCUCUCACGUGCGGCACAGUCUUGCGUGACCUAGCAUCGUCGAAGCCGCCAACCAUCAGCAGGCCGUGGCCGGCGUAGACGCACACCGAGCGUCGAACCUACCUCUUCCCCGACGCCUCUCAUUUCUCCGAUGCCAUAAUCCCAAGUUCUCCGGCACUGAUCUUCUCACCGUUGGCUGGACUUGCCAUCUCCACGGAUCGCCGGACGUUCGAUACGGUUGUCCUUCUCUCUGAGUUGUAGCCCGUGCCUGGCCAUCCGCACCGUCAGAUCGUCGAUUCUCUGUCACCUCGAAGGACACCUGAUGCCAUCGUCGUUUUCCUUCUCCGGCCACGAGCAGGAGGCAGUGGGGUUGUGCCCGUGAGCCGAUUUCCCCUCUCCCAUACCACGUGAUGCCAUCACCGAUGCUGUGCCCGGGUUGUGCUUGCCACAGUGCUGAUCAUCGAUCAUCAAUGUCGACAUUCCAGGCGGACUGGUCAUCACCGGUGGGGCUCUUCCACCACCGUGGGUCGUCGUCUGCCCUAAUGUGAGCUUGACCUUGCCUUGUUGCCCCAAUUGGUUCUCUAGUGGACAUGGAGCAGCUCCAUCAGCUCAUUGGUGAGGACUUGGAUUCGGGAUGUGCGUCUCGACAUGAGAUUAGUUUAUCACGAUCGGCAGAUAAAGGCGGGUAGCAGGUAAAGGAUUUAUGGAGUCGCCUGGAGAUCC